GACGAGCGCUGGCGGCGUGCUUAACACAUGCAAGUCGAACGAUGAAGCUAGAGCUUGCUCUGGUGAAUUAGUGGCGAACGGGUGAGUAACACGUGAGUAACCUGCCCCGAACUCUGGGAUAACUGCUGGAAACGGUAGCUAAUACUGGAUACGACCUACGAAGGCAUCUUCUGUAGGUGGAAAGAAUUUCGGUUCGGGAUGGACUCGCGGCCUAUCAGCUUGUUGGUGAGGUAAUGGCUCACCAAGGCGACGACGGGUAGCCGGCCUGAGAGGGUGACCGGCCACACUGGGACUGAGACACGGCCCAGACUCCUACGGGAGGCAGCAGUGGGGAAUAUUGCACAAUGGGCGCAAGCCUGAUGCAGCAACGCCGCGUGAGGGAUGACGGCCUUCGGGUUGUAAACCCCUUUUAGUAGGGAAGAAGCGAAAGUGACGGUACCUGCAGAAAAAGCACCGGCUAACUACGUGCCAGCCGCCGCGGUAA
rnacentral:rRNA from 1 species